rnacentral:rRNA from 1 species
GACGAGGGGUCCAAGCGUUGUUCGGAAUCAUUGGGCGUAAAGCGGGUGUAGGUGGCUCUGUAAGUCAGGAGUGAAAGCCCCGAGCUUAACUUGGGAAGUGCUUUUGAUACUGCAGAGCUUGAGUGUGGGAGAGGAUCGUGGAAUUCCUGGUGUAGUGGUGAAAUACGUAGAUAUCAGGAGGAACACCGGUGGCGAAGGCGGCGAUCUGGCCCAACACUGACACUGAGGCGCGAAAGCUAGGGGAGCAAACGGG